AAUCAACGCUGGCGGCGUGCCUCAGACAUGCAAGUCGAACGAGAAAGUUUCCUUCGGGAGACGAGUACAGUGGCGUCCGGGUGAGUAACACGUGGGUAAUUUACCUUUGGGUGGGGAAUAGCAGCCGGAAACGGCUAUUAAUACCGCAUAAUGCAGCGGCUCGACAUCGAGACAGUUGUUAAAGCGGGGAUCUGACAAGGACCUCGCGCCUAAAGAGAAGCCUGCGGCGGAUUAGCUAGUUGGUAAGGUAAUGGCUUACCAAGGCGACGAUCCGUAACCGGCCUGAGAGGGCGGUCGGUCACACUGACACUGACAUACGGGUCAGACUCCUACGGGAGGCAGCAGUCGGGAAUUUUGGGCAAUGGGCGAAAGCCUGACCCAGCAACGCCGCGUGAAGGAUGAAAUCCCUCGGGAUGUAAACUUCGCAAGAACGGGAAGAAUAAGCGAGAGUUAAUAUCUUUCGUGAUGACGGUACCGUUUGUAAGCUCCGGCUAACUCCGUGCCAGCAGCCGCCGCCGUAA
rnacentral:rRNA from 1 species